UGGUGGCGGUAAUGCACCGAAAUCUGGUUUUACCACCAUUAAACCUCAGAAGAAGGAGAAGACGAGGAAGAAGAAGACGAACACAGCUGCCAACCCAUAGACAUAUAUAUAUGUCUAUGUGCCAACCGCUAACCAAGCCACGGUAGCCACCAUUUCUCCCGGCAGCAGGGUCCUUCUGUAUGACACGAACGAAAGUCUGUUGGUUCAGAGGGAAUGAUGUCUGGAACAGGGGAGGAAGCGUGCAGCAGGGCUUGGGGGACAGUCCUCCUGGACCUCCUGAAAAGAAAGGAAAAAGGAGAAAACCACUACCACACUCAUCGAACCAAUUAGGAUUGGCGGAGUGUCCUCAACGGAAGAGAUGGACAUGAAAGUUCUGCAGUUUAAGAAUAAAAACUAUGUGAGCGUCUGGAGCAGAGGCAGGCCAUGGAAGAUGAGCUUCGUGAGAGAAUUGAGAAGCUGGAAGCGGCAGGCCACAGAUGAUACAACGCUUCUUAUUGUCAAUCGCUACUGGAGCCAGUUGGAUGAAAAUGUUCAGAUCUUACUCACCAAUUUGACCCUGUGGAAACUCUGCCUGCUGAUCCUACCCCUGGCCCUGAGGAAAAUGACAGUGGACAACUCCACCCUGAGCCACCAGAGGAAGAAGGCCUGUAAUGCUGA